ensembl:lncRNA
CAGAGUAGGCAUGUGUUUAUUGGUGACGCACGUACACCCUGGUGCAAGGGGGAUCGCUCCACCUAACUUGUACACCAUCAGGAGAAAUCGUGCUAUAGAUAUAGAUCGAACUAAUACAUAAUCAAUAGUUGACAGGAAUUCGGAUACAUAUUCAUUACAUUCCCGAGAGCCCAUUAGCAUGCAGUCCCUCCCCCCCCUUGCGCGUGCGUAGUAGGUCAUGAUGAUGAAGGCUCAUAGUCUUCCUCGCGAAGGCUCGUAGCCUUCCUUGCUGCAAACUUCUGCCCCCAAAGGGGGGGCAUCUCCUGAACCGGUUUCAACUUGCCCUGUAGACAUCUAAUCACCUCCCUGCCAAAUGUUUUUGAGCUGCUCUCCAGUCCUUAUCUUUAUGGCCUUCAUCCUCCUUGAUAUUCCAGACCUAGUGUCUGUGAAAGUGCUUGGAAUCCCUUGUUUUCUAACACUCCUUACAUAAACUAUCUCUAUUUGCUCCUUAUUUCUACUUUGUGAAGCUACUUUCCCUUUUCUUGCUCUGAGGCCCUUCUCUCUAUAACUGCAGGGUCCUGUUCUCACUCUUCACAACCCUGAUGUAUUCUCCCCAUGGCUAAAUUUUGAGAUCCUUAUUAUAACAGCUCUUUUUUUUUGUGCCACAGAAGGAUCUUUUUCUUCACUGUGUUCAUACAUCUACUCUUUGGACAAUUUAUCAAAGUAUAUAUUUUCUGUUAACCUGUUCAUUCAUCUUAGAAAUUUUCUUUUAUCUAUCUAAUUUUCUUUUAAGUAGCUUUAAUACAGAGUAUCUGGAGGAUGUUUUUCAUUUGUAAUUCAGCAAAAUCUUAAUGCAUUCUCUGCCAUGCAUAUUUUUACUACUCUUCAGAAGCCCCAGAAAUCCAGGUCAUAGCAAUAUAUGUAUAGUGAAAGUGUGUACAUAUGCACAUUUUAUACUUUCUUAGCAACUUCUUACUAGUAUGUCUCUAAUUAUACAUUUUUUUUUUUUUUUUUUCCUAUGGGUUCUUGUCUGUCUGUUUUUUAUUUGAUUCCUUUUCAUGUUACAAGGAUUGUUCAGUUGCAUCCUGUGGGAUAGGAAAACAGUUUCUGAUGACAGUGUUCCAAAACCAAUAAAGUAUCAGCUUAGUACUCCUAUUUCUUAUCCUAGUAUUUGUAUCUAUACAUAAAAUGACUAGUGACCAUAUUUUCAUUCACCAAAAACAUACAAGCAAAACAGAAAAACAGAGGAAAGUAUACUACAGUAAACAUAUUCAAGGUCCAAGAAUUUGCCACAAACAAGGAAAAAAUCUCAGAUCUCUUAUCUCCUUUUUCUUAUCUUAAUUACACAAAUACAUGACUUGUAUAUUGCUGGUCAUCAAGGAGUGCAUAGAAUCAUAGAAUCGCUUGGGUUGGAAGGGACCUCAAGGAUCAUCAAGCUUCAGCCCACCUGCCACAUGCAGGGCCACCAACCUACAUAUCCAAUACUAGACCAGGCUGCUCAGGGCCCCAUCCAGCCUGGCCCUUAGCACCUCCAGGGAUGGGGCAUCCACAACCUCUCUGGGCAGCCUGUCUCAUAUUGCUUUGAGAAGAGUGAGGCAAUUUGAGUGCAUGCAGGAGUACCAAACAUAUUGAUGUCAUCCUGACUAUCCCAUUUCCCUUUAAUCCAGAAAGUGAUGGGAAUGUUCCAGGAUUUUUUUACAAAUGUUAUUCCUUAAAUAUAAUCCAAAUGUUUGUUAUCAUAAUGCCAUAACACUUCAUGCAGUAUAUAUCAUACUUAGUCUGGAGAAAAGCAGGCUGAGGGGAAAUCUCAUAACUCUUCCUGCCUGAAAGGUAGGAAGGAGAGUGCUGGUCUUUUUUCUUGGAUGUUAAGUGGUAGAACACAAUGAAAUAGCCUCAAGUUGUGCCAAGGGGGAUUUAGAUUGGAUAUUAAGAAGAAUCUCUUCACAGAAAUGGUGAUAAAGCAUUGGAACAGGUUGCUUAGAGAAGUGGUAGAGUUGCAUCCCUGGUAGUAUUUAAGAGAUGUGAAUUUGGCUCUUAGGGACAAAUUUUUAGUGGCAGAUUUGGUAGUAUUAGGUUGAUGGUUGGACUUGAUUUUAAAGACCUUUUCCAGACUAAUUGAUUAUGUGAUUCUAUGAUUCCAUGAAAAGGAAUGAAUAAUUCCCUCUGUGUCUUCUAGUUCUAGCUUUCUUCAUUUGGGGAGAAACACACAGCAUAUAUUGAUUAUAGAUAUUGUUCCUAGUGCAGUUGGUAAGAUAAAUUAGUGCUAAAUACAUUGUUGAUAUGGAUUCAAUUCUCCAGUUUUCGACUGGGUUACUUACUUGAGAGAAAAAUCUCAGUAAACAGAACUGUUUUCUUGUUUGGGUUCACCUCACUGCUAAAUCUUGAGGCUUUGUAAAGUGUAAUGAACUGUUAAUUUGCAGACUAUAAUGGAUUUACUUUGUUUCCUAUAGCUCACAAUAAGGCAGAGAAAGUUGCACGUUAAUCACAUAACUGUUACUUUACUAAUGCUUUUUUCCCCGUAUUUUAAAUGUGGAAGUAUUUUGCAAUGACUACAGCUAUUAAAAAAAAAAAGAAAAAAAAAAAAGAAAUUAUCAUAAAAUAGGAACAGAUCAAGUUUAUAUCCAAUUUAUUACUAUUUUAUCCUGAGGGACUGAGAUUUUAGUCUACAUUAAAAAUGUUUUAAAUAUUGUGUAGAGGGAAAAGUAUUUAAGGUCCCAGUUCACCAAUCCGUCCCUUUCAGCAAAACACUAAAAAACAUUUGAUUCCUAUUAACUUUAAUGGGUUUAAGCAUGUUUAAAUUUAAUGGACCUAAAGUUGUAACAAAUCAGUGGAUCUAAGGCAGUUUUUUUCUUCUGCAUCUAUUCUUGCCAGACAGAAUCCUGAGCAGUUCACAUAACAGUAAGUUCUAAAAGUCCUCAUGGGGCAAUGUGAGCUUUGUAACUCCUAUCAAUUAUUAUUAUUAUUUUAAUUUAAGGUAGCAGACAGACUUUCUAUUCUAGCUUUUUGGACUGAGAUGAGGCUUUUGGGAGUGAACAAGAUGAAUUAUCCAGUGAAUCCAUCUUGCAUUACUUUGAAUGGAACUUAUUGUCUGAAUGAAGGAAUAUCUCUUCUACGCCACGUGGAUGAUCAAAAUAUUCUUUUUCCAUAAAGGUCUAAAAAUGCUCGGGUUUCAGGCUGAAAUUUGGUGCUUUCUGAGACAUAAAAGGUCAAAAUUUUAGUUAUCAUUUCUUUCAAUAGCAUCAACAUAACAAGAGGCUUUAAAGUGCAACAGUGAUUCUGGUCUGGCCUUAGAUCUAACAGAAGUUACAGAAAACAUUUUUCCACUUUUAGGUUGGUCGUUUUUUUGUUGGUGGUGGUGGAUGUUUUUUUUUUUUUUGUUUGGUUGGUUGGUUUUGUUUGUUUGUUUUUGCUUUUGCUUUUUGUUUUUGUUUUCCUUCUGUCAUGGUUUUAUGAUUUUUGUUAUUGGUAUUCCACAUCAUAACAUCAUGUAAAGCACUGGGAGUUAAAGAGUUAAUGCCUCACUUCAGUGGACUGCUGAUUUUCCAGAUACCUGGUUCUUAGAAAAGAACUACAUACCCAAAGGACUUUGCAUCCAGAAGGAAAGAUAGAACUCCUGGCAAGUCAUGAGACUGGUCUCUUUCUCUUUCUCAUUGCCUGGCAGUGUGUGUGCUCCCCAGCCAUUUUGCCUUCAAUUCAGAGUAAGGCCUUCAAUUUCGGACACUCCUUCUCUCUUCUUUUUUUGUUUUAUUAGCCUCAAUUCCAAUUAUACCAUAUUAUACUGUGUUGUCUUGCAUUCCAAUAUCAUAUUUAGUAAAUUAACUUUCCUCCUCAGAUCAUUGCUGCUGUUAUAUUGUUUAGGCCCAUCUCCAGUCUCACUACCCUUUCCCUUUCUUUCCCUUCCCCUUUUCUCAGGGCAUGAGUCCAUAGAUCCACUACCCCAUUAGUCACAGUACUGAGCCAAACUGGCCCGUAAAUGGUUGACAUUCCCCCCACAUCCCCCCCCCUUUUCAGGCCAGUGGGCCUGUGGGCCUGCUGUCCCACUGUCACGGACACAGAGAGAUCUAGAGAUAACUCCAUGACACCUUCCAUAUUCAUAGACUAUAAGUAAGAAAUUAGAAAUUAGAUUUCUAGCUUAUUGCCUGAGCAUGCUCAAUUCCAUCAAGUCUUACUGAAAAUUUCAUUAUGGUUUCUUUCUGCUGAAUAUAUAGUAUAAGAUACUUUCUGGCCAGAAGUCACUGGUUUAACUAAGCAAUCACAUUAAUGCAAAAAUGCAUAUGCAAAAUGAAUUUGAUCUGUGGAGCACAAUUCCACAGAAUAGUAGGUAGGUUUAAUCUUAAACAGACAAGUGAUUAUUUAAAAAGUGAAAAAUGAAGUGAAGUAAAUAAAUCCCAGUUUUAAGUAAAUAAUGUCUAGUCAUGGAGUCUGAGGAAGGGGUGCAUGUGUAUUUCAAGGCAAGAGAGGUUUUGCAUAGAUUUCUUCCUGGGAAUUCAUUAGGCAUUUCAUUAUUUUAGAUUGGUCACUAACCAAUAAAUUUUCCACUUUUCAUCAGAUAUCUUGACAAAGUGUAUGAAAAUCUCUUGGUAUUUGUCUAAAAUCUAAUCAGGCUUUAGUCAUAUAUAUGUGACACAAAGAAUAAUUUUAAAAACUGUAACAUUUUCAGUUGAUAAGAACCACAUUUGUUGCUGUUUAAGCAAUACAGCUUACAAAAUAUGGCGUACAGAUGGAUUUUUGUUAAUUUUUAUCUUUUUUUUUUUUUUUACAGCAGGUUAGUGUCAUCCCAUCAUUUAAUCCUCUUCUUCUUCUUAAAAAAAAAAAAAAAAGCACUUAUCCACUGCAAUACAUAGAAAUCUGAUUUUUCUAGCUCCAAGAAAACUUUUUUUUUUUUUUUUUUCCCCCGACAUUAGCAUUUAGAAAGUCAUAGAGCUGCUUUUGCACCUUAGGUUUUAUAAUUUAUUUGUUUCUUUAUUUUUCUUAUAGUCCAGUUUUAAUAGAUAGAUUUUUCUUCUAUUAAUGAAGAAUAAAAUAUAAAAUUUAUAUUUCAUUUAUAUUUGCUAUCUAGUUGUCAUUCUUCUGAUUAGCUAAAAUAGCCAAAAUAAUAACUUCAGCUUGAAGGGACCAGCAAGGAUCAUUAAGUCCAGCUCCUGGCUCCACACAGUAUCAUCCAAAAUACAAACUGUGUUUCAGAGAGUGUUAUCCAAAUGCUUCUUAACUCUGGCAAUCUUGAUGUCACAAUCACUUCCCUGGGGAGCCUGUUCCAGUGCCUAGAAUCUUCGUGGGCAAGCUAUAAACUGUAAUGAAGUUUUCCCUCAGUCUCCUCUUCUCUAGGCUGAAUAGACCAGGUGAUUUCAACCACUCUUGCUCUCUAGACACUUCACCAUCUUUGUAGCCCUCCUUUGUAUGCUCUCUCAUAGUUCUCUUUCUUGCAUUGCAGUGCCCAAAACUUCAUUCUGUACUUGAGAUGAAACUGCACGAGCACACCUUUAGACUGACCUGUCAGCCAGUUGUAUUAUGUUGGAUUGCCGAGGUUAGCUGCCUCGGAGCUGUCCCAGCCAGAACCACAGCAACUGAUCAUGAGGUACAGGGGGGUUUCAGCCGGUUCCUUUAUCCAGGGAAUCCUGAGAUAACAGAGCAGUCCGGCAGCUCUAGCGAGAGCGGCUGACAUGAAGUGUGCGUUGCCAGGGCAACGGCUCUGCAUCCACGCCCCCUGCCUAGAAAAAGCUUUGGGGAGGCACCCAGACAGAGAGGAGUCAGUGUGUGAAUCAUGUGGGCCGUUCAGAAGAGGUGAAACGGGAGAGGUGUGUUGCCUGCCUGGUGCCCAGGUGAGAGAUGGUGCUAGGAACAUCAGUCACCUCGUUAAGCCCUCCGAUUAUUAUUAUCCAUUACUGGUUUUUCACAUUGGAAAUAAAGAGGCACCAAAGUAAAAUUGAAAUACCUAAAGCUCUUUGAAGAAAAGCAGAAUUUCUUAUCAGUAUUUGUUUAUACCUGGGAAGAAAAGGAAAGCUAUUUGUCACCCAGUAUUCAAGAUGACUCUUACUGCCUUAAAUUAAAUAAGUAUAUGAAAAUAUUAUUAAAUUAAUGUGUAGUUAAUUUUGCUUGGCUGAUUUUAAGGAAGUAAUCCUUGGUACCCAAAACUAUGAAGAUCUUCUGUUCUCAGCAGGAAAGCAGUUACUUUUCAUGCAUAUGCAAAGCACAGCAUAACAAAAGACCUCAUGAUCCCAUAACAACUUAUCCCGUAUGAAUAAACAUUAUUAAGCUGUAAUCUUUACUACAUGUUGUUCUUUAACAUGCUUUUGUUUUAGACUGCCUUAGAAGAUAAUGUUCUCUCAUUUGUUAGGCUAGAAUUCAGACACCUUAAGUAAUUUUUUAAUUUUCUUUUUAUUUUUUCCCUCCUUUUUUUUUUUUUUUUUUUUUUUCCCAUUUACAGAUUUGUCUGCUUGCAAGUUUAUGCCUUCAUCAGUUCCAUAUUUUCUGCUUACACAGAUACAUUUGAAUGUGGAAAAUUUAGACCUGCCAUUUUUUAUUUCAGAGAGAAUAGUUUAGGGGAAUGACAAUGCAAUAAAAGGUAAUGGACAGGUGAGAGAUGGAAGAACUGUCACAUUGACAGUAAUUUUAGUCUUUUCUCUCAGGCUUAUUUGCUUCUCAUGAUGCAUAACUGCAGGAGUUAUGUAAAUAUUUUAAUCAGGUAACAAAUACUGAUUGAAUUACAUAGUGGGACUGAUAUAAUGGGACUUAAGCUGGAUUUGUGGUGAUUUUUCUGGUGAUUAUUUUCUACAUAUUCAUCAGUGUCUUUAAAUCUAAAGUAUCUUUCAAAAAAUUUUAAAGCUUUUAAAGAACCUGAAAAUGCUUGCAAAACACCUGGGAGAAAUAAUGAUUUAUUCCACUGAAUUUUUGCAGUGUUUUAUAGUGUUUCAUUCCAUAAGAUUAGAAUAGACAUCUACUCCAAAUUUAGGAGAUGUCUUUUUACAAGAAUGAUAAAAACCAUGCCUACAAACCCAGGCCUUGUAUUCCCGGAAGCUUAUCUCAGAACAUAAACACCAGUAACAAACUGCUUGUCAAUAUUGUACAAAGAAGAAAUAGAAAGGUAUAACUGUACCAGUGCAUAAGUUGAUGGUAUAACUGCACCAAUGGGCAAGGGAAAAGCCAUUGAUAUAAUUUAUUUGGACUAUUGUAAGGCCUUCAAUGGGGUCCUACAAAUCAUCCUUCUCUCCAAAUUGGAAAGAUAUGGAUUUAAUAUGUGGACUGUUCAAUAAACGAGGAAUUGGUUUGAAGAUUGUACCCAGAGAAUGAUGGUCAGUAGCUCAAUGUCUAGAUGGAGAUUGGUGGUGAGUGGUCUCUCUCAGGAAUCAUUACUGUGACUGAUGCUCUUUAUUGUCUUCAUCAGUUACGUUGACAGUAAGAUCGAAUACAUCCUCAGCAAGUUUGCAUGCGACACCAAGCUGUGUGGUGCAAUAGACACAGAUCAGGACAGGAUGACAUCCAGAGAGGCCUAGACAGGCUCAAUCAGUGGGUCCAGAAGAACAUCAUGAGGUUCAACAAAGCCAAGUGCAGGGUCUUGUACCUGGGUCAUGGCACCCCCUGCUAUCAAUACAAGCUACAGGAUGUAAAGGUGGAGGUCAGCCCUGCCAAUAAAGCCCUGGUGAUAAUGGAUAAUGUGCUGGAUAUGAGCCAGCAAUGUACCCUCACAGCCCAGGCAGUCAAUCAUAUCCUGGGUUGCAUCAAACAGACAAGUGAGUUGAACUUGCUCCUAUACUGUGCAAUAGUGAGACCUCACCUGGAGUACUGUGUCCUGAUGUGAAGCCCGCAGUACAGGAGAGACAUGGACCUGCUGGAGCACAAUUUCAUUCAUAAUUUCCUUCUUGAUCUAUAGAAAUGAAAGUCAACUAUUCUUUCACAUUCUGUGAAACUGAUGGAAAGAACAGUCUACCCCAUUCUUCUGUAGUUUACUUUUUUUGGUACACAUCACUUAUUUUAAGGAGACUCCAAAGAACAAUUUUGUAAUUUUAUUACCAGAACAUUUUUGUAACAGUUGAUGGAGUACUAGAAGUUAUUGUGUUGCUGAUGCUGAUAUAUAUAUAUUUUUUUUCAAUAACAUUUUUCAAAUGCAUUUCCUUCGGUAAUUUUACUAAGCAAUUUUUUAAAAUUCAC